CACGGGGGGAGCAAGCGUUGUUCGGAAUUACUGGGCGUAAAGGGCGUGUAGGCGGUCAAGUAAGUGGAAUGUGAAACGCCUCGGCUUACCCGAGGACCUGCAUCCCAAACUGCUUGGCUUGAGUAUGGGAGAGGAUGAGGGAAUUCCUGGUGUAGCGGUGAAAUGCGUAGAUAUCAGGAGGAACACCGGUGGCGAAGGCGGAUCUCUGGGCCAUUACUGACGCUGAGGAGCGAAAGCGUGGGGAGCGAACAGG
rnacentral:rRNA from 1 species